rnacentral:rRNA from 1 species
GCCUAACACAUGCAAGUCGAACGCGGUUGCUUCUGCUUCGCAAGAAGCAGUGGCAACUGAGUGGCGAACGGGUGAGUAACACGUGGGUGACCUGCCUUCGAGUGGGGGAUAACAUCCCGAAAGGGGUGCUAAUACCGCAUGACAUCCUGCCUUUGAAGAGGUGGAGAUUAAAGCUGGGGAUCGCAAGACCUGGCGCUUGAAGAGGGGCCCGCGUCCGAUUAGCUAGUUGGUGGGGUAACGGCCUACCAAGGCGACGAUCGGUAGCCGGCCUGAGAGGGCGGACGGCCACACUGGGACUGAGACACGGCCCAGACUCCUACGGGAGGCAGCAGUGGGGAAUUGUUCGCAAUGGGCGCAAGCCUGACGACGCAACGCCGCGUGGAGGACGAAGAUCUUCGGGUCGUAAACUCCUUUCGAUCGGGACGAAUGGCCGGUGACCCAACACGUCAUCGGAGUGACGGUACCGAGAGAAGAAGCCCCGGCUAACUCCGUGCCAGCAGCCGCGGUAAU